AGUAACACGUGGACAACCUGCCUCAAGGCUGGGGAUAACAUUUGGAAACAGAUGCUAAUACCGAAUAAAACUUAGUGUCGCAUGACAUAAAGUUAAAAGGCGCUUCGGCGUCACCUAGAGAUGGAUCCGCGGUGCAUUAGUUAGUUGGUGGGGUAAAGGCCUACCAAGACAAUGAUGCAUAGCCGAGUUGAGAGACUGAUCGGCCACAUUGGGACUGAGACACGGCCCAA
rnacentral:rRNA from 1 species